rnacentral:misc_RNA from 1 species
UUUCCGUAGGUGAACCUGCGGAAGGAUCAUUCAUAAUAAGUGUUUUACUGCACUUUUUAAAAAUAGUACUCACCUUGUAUGAAAUAUUGUGUUUCUUUUCGGAGAAACACCUACACCAACCUAUAACCUUAAACAACUUUGUCUGAAAAACUAUUAUGAAUACUUAAUUCAAAAUACAGCUUUCAACAACGGAUCUCUUGGCUCUC